GACGUAGGAUGCAAGCGUUGUCCGGAUUUAUUGGGCGUAAAGAGUUCGUAGGUGGUUUGUUAAGUCUGAUGUUAAAGACUGGGGCUCAACCUCGGAAAUGCAUUGGAUACUGGCAGACUUGAGUGCAGUAGAGGCAAGCGGAAUUCCAGGUGUAGCGGUGAAAUGCGUAGAUAUCUGGAAGAACACCGGUGGCGCAAGCGGCUUGCUGGGCUGUAACUGACACUGGGGAACGAAAGCUAGGGGAGCAAAUGGG
rnacentral:rRNA from 1 species